rnacentral:rRNA from 1 species
UACAGAGGGGGCAAGCGUUGUUCGGAAUUACUGGGCAUAAAGGGCGCGUAGGCGGCCUGCUAAGUCGAACGUGAAAUCCCUGGGCUCAACCCAGGAACUGCGUCCGAUACUGGUUGGCUUGAAUCCGGGAGAGGGAUGUGGAAUUCCAGGUGUAGCGGUGAAAUGCGUAGAUAUCUGGAGGAACACCGGUGGCGAAGGCGGCAUUCUGGACUGUAACUGACACUGAGGCGCGAAAGCUAGGGGAGCAAACGGG